UUCUCCUGCAAGCUACCCACUUCGUCCCACGCUGGGACCCCGCCAAAGCACGAGGACAGAGGCGCCAUCUUAUACCUUUGGUGCAAAACAGGACUUUGCCAUAGGGAAACACGGCGCGGAAUUCGAGCCCUCCCCCAGCGCUUACAACCCCGGCCAGGCGGACAGACAGCUCUAUACCAGAGCCCCCACGAUCAUCCACAGUUUCCGUCACGAUGGAACCGUGCUGUGGAAGUCUAAAGACGCAGUCAAGAACCCGGGACCAGGCGCCUACAGUCCUAAAUACUCACUGACACAGCGUAGCAACCCCUCAUUCAGUUUUCGAGGGCUGGGCGACCGAGAGGACAAACCUUACAUUGACGAAUUUGGACCUUUUUCUGCGUUUUAGUUCAAUUAAGACCUCUCAGUUAUCAGGUUAAUUUUUGACAAUCAAAUCUUUUUAAAGUCCUCCUUCACAUACUAAUUGGAAUAGAUGUGUAGCACAGAUCACUUUUCCCUUAAUUAAUUAAUUGACUGAUUAAUUAAUAUAUUUGUUUAUUAAUUUAAUUAAUCAGUUUAUUUAUUUAUUGUUUAUAUGGAGGGAUUGGGCUAACAGGCAUUGGUGAUGAUGGACCAGUAUGCAGUAAAUGUUUGGCGACAGUAACUAAAAAACGUAAACAUUUUACUGAUUUUUUCCCAAAAAUACUCGAAAAGGCGUUUCUUUUCUCAAAGGAUCAUGUAAAAGUAUAAAAACAGAUUGUGAAUUUACUAUAAUCAUCCUCAUGUACAGGUAUAGAUAACAACUUGAUAUUUUUUGUAGCUAUGAGGGAAGAAAAGAUCACAGAAUCAACUAAAAUGCGAUGGGGCAAUUUUGAAUAGGUCUUUCCUUAUGUCUUUGUAUGUAAGGGGAUGCACCGGGGAAAUUUGUCUAAUGUUUGCGGCGAAGUCUUAAUGAUUUCAGUACAGAUUACAAGCUAAAUUAAUGUAACAUUCGUGAGGGGUAACUAGCGUUUAAAAAGAUUAUAUAUUCUUCAAAUACUGAAAGUGAUUUUUAAUGAGUUUUAAGAGCGCGUUGCACUCUCACAAAGGCACGUAUUUGCUCUCCUGUUUUGACCUUUGCUGUUUUGAUGUUGAAAACAUAACAGUAGGGUAUAUGCAUCAUUUGUUUAAACACGUGCGAUAUCUCUUGCCACCAAAGAUAACCAAAAAUCAUUUGGGUUAUGGUAAGGGUACCCAUGAUAGGAUAUCAUGUUUCAACAGUCUAAAUUUAGCAAUUAAUUGAUUUUAAUCUGAAAUCUUUAAAAAAACUAUUUAACAAGUAUAAAAUUGUCAAACAAAAGACCGUAGGCUCAUUGCUGUUCACAAAACCGUGUGUUAUAAAAUUUUAAUUUAAGAUAUUGCUAUUAUAUAGCAGUAAGUGAAGUGAAGUUAUUUAGUUUUUUUUCUAUCAACAUAAGUUUAGAAGUUUUUAUGUUGUUGUCCUUUUGAUAGCCCAACUUGCGAGGUGAAACUUAACACCGAAAUGCUUAAAUUCGAUUUUUAUGGGACCCAGUCCCAUUUUAUAUAAGAACAUUCACAUUAAAAUUUAUUGUUUUUAAUAUUCUGGACAUGUGAAGGAAGACCACUUAACAGUUUGAUCAGUAUUGUAUAACGGGUAUGCCAGUUAUUAUGUCAGAAAGUUUUAUUUAUGUACUUACGAAUUGAAUGUAACUCUAAAUGCCAUGUUAGGUAGACAAAUAAGGUUUGAUUAAUGAAAAAAAA
rnacentral:lncRNA from 1 species